UACGGGGGGGGCAAGCGUUGUUCGGAAUUACUGGGCGUAAAGGGCUCGUAGGCGGCCAACUAAGUCAGACGUGAAAUCCCUCGGCUUAACCGGGGAACUGCGUCUGAGACUGGAUGGCUCGAGUAUGGGAGAGGGAUGCGGAAUUCCAGGUGUAGCGGUGAAAUGCGUAGAUAUCUGGAGGAACAUCGGUGGCGAAGGCGGCAUCCUGGACCAUGACUGACGCUGAGUGAGCGAAAGCCAGGGGAGCAAACGGG
rnacentral:rRNA from 1 species